UUUUGCUGCAGCACAUGAAAUGUGGAUCAUGGGCUAGCUUCCGGGGAUGGUAAUGGACUUGUUAGAAAGGAAAGAAAUAUCUGCUAUGUGCAGAUCCUGAUGUUAGACACCAAGAGAGAAGUGGGUGAUGCCCUCCCAGCCACUGGAUAGCCCACCAUAGGACAGAGAGAUGAAAGAUGAGAACAAUCAGUUUGAUUGGUGCCUUUAUAACAUUAUCUCUUUCAAUCUGCAACUUUCUAAUGAGAAAAUAAGAGGAGAGAUCAUCAUUCUCAUUUUGUAGUUGAGAAAUCUAAGAUCCAGAG
rnacentral:lncRNA from 1 species